rnacentral:rRNA from 1 species
CGGGUGAGUAACGCGUGAGGAACCUGCCUCAAAGAGGGGGACAACAGUUGGAAACGACUGCUAAUACCGCAUAAGCCCACGGCUCGGCAUCGAGCAGAGGGAAAAGGAGUGAUCCGCUUUGAGAUGGCCUCGCGUCCGAUUAGCUGGUUGGUGAGGUAAUGGCCCACCAAGGCGACGAUCGGUAGCCGGACUGAGAGGUUGACCGGCCACAUUGGGACUGAGACACGGCCCAG